AGGCGUACGGCAGAGAAACGGAGAUGAAAUGGGAGAGAAGUGAGUCGAAAUGAUGAUGGCUGAUUGAUCAUAUCGCUAGUCAGAGUAACGACACACAAGAACGACGUAAAGGAGAAAGGAAGAACUGGCGGUGGCUGAAACAGAAGAAGAACUGUCGAGGCGAUUCGGCUGCGAAAGAGGGAAGAUUUGGACGAGGAAAAGAGAGAGAAAUCGAGUUGAGUAGUGAGGAAGAGUACGAUAUUAAAAUUGGGGAGAAAUAGAGGGCAUAACGGAGACUGAAAAAGGAGAGGGGAAGAAAGAUUAAAAAAAAAAAAAGGUGAACAGAGAAGGAUCGGACUCGGUCGGUGGUUUUGAGAAAAUGAGAAGGAAAAGUGAAAAGGAAGAAGAAGAAAAAAGGAGGAAGGGAUGUGAUGGUUUGAAGCAAGAGAGGAAGAAUUUAGAGACCAGAAGAAAAGAAAAACAGGGAUGAAACGAGAAGGCAGUGUCUUCAAAAGGUUGUGUAUGAAUAGAUAAUGAUUGAUGGCAUACAGUUCUUUGAAUUCCCAUUUGAAGCAACUGGAGAAGAAUUCUCUUGCUGGAAUGAUGGCAAUUGCAUCUCUAAAUGUUAGCAUCACUCAAAUUGGAUUUGGAUUAAAGCCUACUUGAGUCUGAUGAUUUGGCAUGAAUCCCAAGUUGUGUAUGAAUAGAUAAUGAUUGAUGGCAUACAGUUCUUUGAAUUUCCAUUUGAAGCAACUGGAGAAGAAUUCUUUUACUGGAAUGAUGGCAAUUGCAUCUCUAAAUGUUAGCAUUACUCAAAUUGGAUUUGGAUUAAAGCCUACUUGAGUCUGAUGAUUUGGCAUGAAUCCCAAGUUGUGUAUGAAUAGAUAAUGAUUGAUGGCAUACAGUUCUUUGAAUUUCCAUUUGAAGCAACUGGAGAAGAAUUCUUUUACUUGGAAUGAUGGCAAUUGCAUCUCUAAAUGUUAGUAUUACUCAAAUUGAAUUUGGAUUAAAGCCUACUUGAGUCUGAUGAUUUGGCAGAAAUUCCAGGUUGUGUAUGAAUAGAUAAUGAUUGAUGGCAUGGUAUAGAGUAUGCUGUUAGAUUG